rnacentral:rRNA from 1 species
UACGACUACAUAUCAGGCAUAUCAAUAAGCGGAGGAAAAGAAACUAACUAGGAUUCCCUCAGUAACGGCGAGUGAAGCGGGAAGAGCUCAAAUUUGAAAUCUUCAAGGUUUUACCUUGACGAAUUGUAGUUUAAAGAAGUGUUUUCUGUUGGAAUUUUGGUAAAAGUUCUUUGGAAAAAGACAUCAAAGAGGGUGAGAAUCCCGUAUUUGACCAUUAUUUCCAGCUUUGUGAUACACUUUCAAAGAGUCGGAUUGUUUGGGAAUGCAGUCCAAAAUGGGUGGUAAAUUUCAUCUAAAGCUAAAUACUGGCGAGAGACCGAUAGCGAACAAGUACCGUGAGGGAAAGAUGAAAAGAACUUUGAAAAGAGAGUUAAACAGUACGUGAAAUUGUCAAAAGGGAAGCGUUUGACACCAGUGUUGUUUUCUCGAAAAUCAAUUAAAAAAGAUUGGAUUUUGUGUUGUAUUGACUUUAUCAGCUUUCUGCACUCUUUUCAUGUCUUUUUUAAUGCACUUUUCGUUUAACAAGUCAACAUCAAUUUCUUUUGUUGUAAAAGGGUCAUUGGAAGGUGGCUUUCACUUUCGGAUGAAAGUGUUUAUAGCCUUUGACUUCUGCAAUCGGAGAGAUUGAGGUCUGCAGCGUAGAUCCUUCGGGGUUAGAUACAUUUGUGCUAAGUUAUAGCUUUUCAUAGACAACAUGUUGACUAUGAUUAAGUCAUGUAGCUUACUCGCUUAUGCUAUUUUACCUACGCUUAGGAUGUUGAAUCUGUGCGAGACUAC